rnacentral:rRNA from 1 species
AGGAUGAGCUCGCGCCUGAUUAGCUAGUUGGUAAGGUAACGGCUUACCAAGGCCACGAUCAGUAGCUGGUUUGAGAGAACGAUCAGCCACACUGGGACUGAGACACGGCCCAGACUCCUCCGGGAGGCAGCAGUGAGGAAUUUUCCGCAAUGGGCGAAAGCCUGACGGAGCAAUACCGCGUGAGGGAUGAAGGAUUUUGGUCUGUAAACCUCUUUUCUCAAGAAAGAAGUUCUGACGGUACUUGAGGAAUAAGCAUCGGCUAACUCCGUGCCAGCAGCCGCGGUAAUACGGGGGAUGCAAGCGUUAUCCGGAAUCAUUGGGCGUAAAGCGCCUGUAGGUUGUUUAAUAAGUCUGUUGUUAAAGACUAGGGCUUAACCCUAGAAAAGCAAUGGAAACUACUAGACUAGAGUAUGGCAGGGGUAGAGGGAAUUUCUAGUGUAGCGGUGAAAUGCGUAGAUAUUAGAAAGAACACCGGUGGCGAAAGCGCUCUACUGGACCAUUACUGACACUCAGAGGCGAAAGCUAGGGUAGCAAAAGGGAUUAGAUACCCCUGUAGUCCUAGCCGUAAACGAUGGAUACUACAUGUUGUGUUUAUUUCACAGUAUGGUAGCUAACGCGUUAAGUAUCCCGCCUGGGGAGUACGCUCGCAAGGGUGAAACUCAAAGGAAUUGACGGGGGCCCGCACAAGCGGUGGAGCAUGUGGUUUAAUUCGAUGCAACGCGAAGAACCUUACCUGGUCUUGACAUCCACAGAACUUUCCAGAGAUGGAUUGGUGCCUUCGGGAACUGUGAGACAGGUGCUGCAUGGCUGUCGUCAGCUCGUGUUGUGAAAUGUUGGGUUAAGUCCCGUAACGAGCGCAACCCUUGUCCUUAUUUGCCAGCACUUCGGGUGGGAACUCUAAGGAGACUGCCGGUGACAAACCGGAGGAAGGUGAGGAUGACGUCAAGUCAGCAUGCCCCUUAUGUCCUGGGCUACACACGUGCUACAAUGGUUAGGACAAAGAGUUGCGAGCUUGUGAAAGUCAGCUAAUCUCGUAAACCUAGCCCAAGUUCAGAUUGUAGGCUGCAACUCGCCUACAUGAAGUUGGAAUCGCUAGUAAUCGCUGGUCAGCCAUACAGCGGUGAAUCCGUUCCCGGGCCUUGUACACACCGCCCGUCACACCAUGGGAGCUGGUCAUACCCGAAACCGUUAGCUUAACCUUUUGGAGAGCGGCGUCUAAGGUAGGGCUAGUGACUGGGGUGAAGUCGGAACAAGGUAGCCGUACUGGAAGGUGCGGCUGGAUCACCUCCUU